AGUGAACGCUGGCGGUAGGCCUAACACAUGCCAGUCGAACGGCAGCACAGUAAGAGCUUGCUCUUACGGGUGGCGAGUGGCGGACGGGUGAGGAAUACAUCGGAAUCUACUUUUUCGUGGGGGAUAACGUAGGGAAACUUACGCUAAUACCGCAUACGACCUACGGGUGAAAGCAGGGGAUCUUCGGACCUUGCGCGAUUGAAUGAGCCGAUGCCGGAUUAGCUAGUUGGCGGGGUAAAGGCCCACCAAGGCGACGACCCGUAGCUGGUCUGAGAGGAUGAUCAGCCACACUGGAACUGAGACACGGUCCAGACUCCUACGGGAGGCAGCAGUGGGGAAUAUUGGACAAUGGGCGCAAGCCUGAUCCAGCCAUACCGCGUGGGUGAAGAAGGCCUUCGGGUUGUAAAGCCCUUUUGUUGGGAAAGAAAAGCAGCAGGUUAAUACCCCGCUGUUCUGACGGUACCCAAAGAAUAAGCACCGGCUAACUUCGUG
rnacentral:rRNA from 1 species